rnacentral:rRNA from 1 species
AUUGAACGCUGGCGGCAGGCAUAACACAUGCACGUCGAACGAGUGGCGGAAGGGUGAGUAAUGUCUGGGAAACUGCCUGAUGGAGGGUGAUCACUACUGGAAACGGUAGCUAAUACCGCAUACCAUCAACUGUGCCCAGAUGGGAUGAGCUAGUUGGUGGGUGAAAGGAUCACCAAGGAGACGAUCCCUAGCUGGUCUGAGAGGAUGAACAGCCACACUGGAACUGAGACACGGUCCAGACGCCUACGGGAGGCAGCAGUGGGGAAUAUUGCACAAUGGGCGCAAGCCUGAUGCAGCCAUGCCGCUUGUAUGAAGAAGGCCUUCGGGUUGUAAAGUACUUUCAGCGGGGAGUCGUUACCCGCAGAAGAAGCACCGGCUAACUCCGUGCCAGCAGCCGCGGUAAUUC